rnacentral:tRNA from 1 species
GGGUAGAGCUCAGUGGUAGAGCACAUGCUUAGCAUGCACAAGGUCCUGGGUUCAAUCCCCAGUACCUCCA